GACGAACCGUGCGAACGUUGUUCGGAAUCACUGGGCUUAAAGGGCGCGUAGGCGGCCGGGUUGGUCGUGGGUGAAAUCCCCCAGCUUAACUGGGGAAGGGCCUACGAUACUGCCUGGCUCGAGGGAGGAAGGGGCGGUCGGAACUGUCGGUGGAGCGGUGAAAUGCGUUGAUAUCGACAGGAACACCGGUGGCGAAGGCGGGUCUCUGGGCCGGAUACUGACGCUGAGGAGCGAAAGCGUGGGGAGCGAACAGG
rnacentral:rRNA from 1 species